rnacentral:rRNA from 1 species
GGUGAACGCUGGCGGCGUGCCUAACACAUGCAAGUCGAGCGACCGGACGAGAAGCUUGUUUCCUUGCUGUUGGCGGCUGGCGGGCGAGUAACGCGUGGAUCACCUUCCUCUUUUUCUUGGUUCACUACGUGAAACCGCUGCUACUAACACCUGAUACUUUGCACCGCUUGGUUCAAGAGUUCUACACACUCUUGCUGUCUCUUAUAGCUGAAUCCGCGCUGAAUUAGCUAGUUGGUAAGGUAACGGCUUACCAAGGCGACGAUGCAUAGCUGACCUGAGAGGAUGAUCGGCCACACUGGAACUGAGACACGGUCCAGACUCCUACGGGAGGCAGCAGUAGGGAAUAUUCGACAAUGGGCGAAAGCCUGACGGAGCAACGCCGCGUGGGUGAAGAAGGUCUUCGGAUCGUAAAACUCUGUUAUUAGGGAAGAACAUAAGUGUAAGUAAAAGCGGAUAUCUUGACGGUACCUAAUGAGAAAGCCACGGCUAACUACGUG